rnacentral:sRNA from 1 species
AAAUUUUCACUCUACCUUCACGUUAUUCCUUUAUUCGUGAGAACCACAAACACAACUAAAACAAAUCAAAAAUAACAAGAAAAGAAAAACCUAUUCACAUAGAUAGUCAUGGGACUUCCUCCCAAGUGAGCUUGUUUAAAGUCUCUAGCUUGACUCCUCACACUUAUCAAGAAGAAAAUGAAUGAUAGAGAGGGUCUGCAUAGUUCUCUCUAAUAUCAUUCUCAUACUCAGUGUCCUCCCUGGAGAGGUCUACUUCAGAAUACUCAAUUCCCCUCUCUUCAAAAUAGGCUUCUUUCUCUUCUGGAGGGUAAUCUAUCUCUUCAAAAC